GAGUUUGAUCCUGGCUCAGGACGAACGCUGGCGGCACGCUUAACACAUGCAAGUCGAACGGAGAUUAUUUGAGUUUACUUAGGUAAUCUUAGUGGCGGACGGGUGAGUAACACGUGAGCAACCUACCUUUGAGAGAGGGAUAGCUUCUGGAAACGGAUGGUAAUACCUCAUAACAUAAUGGUACCGCAUGAUACUAUUAUCAAAGAUUUAUCACUCAAAGAUGGGCUCGCGUCUGAUUAGAUAGUUGGUGAGGUAACGGCUCACCAAGUCGACGAUCAGUAGCCGGACUGAGAGGUUGAACGGCCACAUUGGGACUGAGACACGGCCCAGACUCCUACGGGAGGCAGCAGUGGGGAAUAUUGCACAAUGGGGGAAACCCUGAUGCAGCGAUGCCGCGUGGAGGAAGAAGGUUUUCGGAUUGUAAACUCCUGUCUUAAAGGACGAUAAUGACGGUACUUUAGGAGGAAGCUCCGGCUAACUACGUGCCAGCAGCCGCGGUAAUACGUAGGGAGCGAGCGUUGUCCGGAAUUACUGGGUGUAAAGGGAGCGUAGGCGGGAGUGCAAGUCAGAUGUGAAAUACAUGGGCUCAACCCAUGGGCUGCAUUUGAAAACUGCAUUUCUUGAGUGAAGUAGAGGUAAGCGGAAUUCCUGGUGUAGCGGUGAAAAUGCGUAGA
rnacentral:rRNA from 1 species